rnacentral:lncRNA from 10 species
GCCAAGGUUAUGACAUGAACUGACAAGACCAAAAAAAAAAUCAGUUUUUCUGAUGCUUCAGCCUUUGCAAGCAUAGGAAAGAAUUAAAAAAAAAAAAAAAAAAAGCCCUGUGGCAUGAGUUAUAGAUGAAGUAUCUGCCUUUAGCUUGGAAUUUCCUGGCAUUUUUCAGCCUGUGACACAGACUUGAUGUGAUUAAACAAAGGCUUUUCUCCAAAUUUAAAGCUCUUAAAAAAAAAAGCUGAAUCUAAUACUCUAACUUGUUUUUAAAUGGGAGCAGAUGCCUCUGUUUCUUGAGCUGACUUCCAGAUUCUGAGAAAUAAAUGAAGAGUGGAGGCUUGUUUUGGUAGAGGCUGAGAAAAGGAGUUGGCCAUAUUUGCCCUUCAGAACUUCGUGUCAUCCCCCAGCUCCCCAACGGCAGGGCCACAUUCUUUCACAGGACGGAGUUGGGGCAGAUUAUGGCUUCCUCUGGAUUGGAUUUCCCUUGGCUUCCCUGAGGGCAAUCCCCCGAGGAAGCACAUCCUGGAGCCAAACUCACCCAAUGAACCACAGCAACAGCUCCUAGGAGAAUGAAGAGUGUGAAUGGAUGGCCUUUUCAAAAUGAUGAGCCUGGAAGAGUUACAGACUCUGGCCCGAAAGAACCAAAGUUGAAGGUAGAGAUGUUUUAAGGAUGAGCAGAGCAGAACAACUUAGCAGUGGGAUGUUAAAGGCAACAUGAAUCAACCACUCCCUGCUAGAAUGGAAGAUUCAUGGGAGCAGGAACCUUGUUUACUAUGUUCCUUAUUGCAAUCCUAAUGCCUGGAACUCUAACUAAUACGUAGGAGGACUCCACAAUUCAUUGAAAACUGAAGAAAUGAAUUCACUUGCGCAUUUCCAGUUCCAUUCCUGAACUCUUCCUUUAGUGAGAAGCACAUGAUGACCUUGUUAAUAUGAAAAUUGAUAAUGGGGUGAGAGAAGAAAAGAAAAGCAUAAAAUACCUGUCUAAUCCAUGCACCACCAGACACCAGAGCAUGUGGGAAGUGGCCAAGAAGAUGAUGCAGGGACGUCUGAGCCCACUUUCUUAUUGGACUUUCCUAGACAUGGUAAUUAGAAACCAGGAAGACUGAGAAGGAAUCAAAUUUGCAGCAGCUCAGUAAGUGGUAGACUGGGAACAAGAAGCCAGUUCUCUGGGCUCUUGAAGCAAGGCCCUGCCACGUUGUCUUUCCCCAGGAGAGGAGGUCAUAAGACAUUCAUUCCAGAGAGAGUCCUGCCCCACCUCUGAGAAGGAAGGAAUGUACACUCAAGAGAGAUCAAGAAGAAUCUAAACAAACAGGCCCUUCUGCGUUUUCCCACAAGAGAAAAUGAUCUAAUUAACAUUCGAUCAUAACUUUUUGUCCAAUUAUAUUUCUACACUGCUGUUCAUACUUUAUUUAACCUAGGCAUAAAAAUUGACAAUUUUUAUUGUAUUUUU